UCAGCACAGAACUUCUUGGAUUAUUUCGAGAAGAAAAUAGAACACGUUAGGUUGAGCAUAUCCCAGCAAGCCUUGGUCCAACCAUUUCACCCUGCUAUGAAGGUGGGUGCUACAAUACCACUGAGGUCCUAACUAGAUUUACAGAAUUUGAUAGUAUCUCAUUAGGCGUGCUGACGAACCGCAUGACGUCUUUAAAAAGCACAACCUGCUUGUUUGAUCCCAUACCAACAAAACUGUUUAUUGACCUGAGGGCCACUCUUGGGCCGACUAUGCUGGAAAUGGAUAAUCUCACACUAACUUCUGAAUCUGUUCCUAAAUGUGUCAAAUCUGCAGUGAUUAAACCAUAGUUUAAGAAAUCUAAUCUUGACCCAAGUGUAUUGCAAAAUUAUAGGCCUUUAUCAAAUCUACCAUUUUGCUCUAAAAUUCUGGAAAAAGUGGUUUUGUGGCCGUUCGUGGACCACCUUACUGAGAAUAAUCUUUUUGAGCCAUUGCAGUCUGCUUUUAGAAAAUAUCACUCCACAGAGAUAGCUCUCAUUAAAGUAGUGAAUUACCUUCUGCGAGCAAUGAACUCGGACACCACUACAGUUCUGUGGGAUGUCCAUG